CCCUAUGGGGUGCAGCAGGCGAGAAAACUUUGCAAUGUGCGAAAGCACGACAAGGUUAAUCCGAGUGAUUUCUGCUAAAGGAAUCUUUUGUUAGUUCUAAAAAUACUAGUGAAUAAGGGGUGGGCAAGUUCUGGUGUCAGCCGCCGCGGUAAAACCAGCACCUCAAGUGGUCAGGAGGAUUAUUGGGCCUAAAGCAUCCGUAGCCUGUUCUAUAAGUUUGCGGUUAAAUCUAUACGCUCAACGUAUAGGCUGCCGUAAAUACUGUAGAACUAGGGAGUGGGAGAGGUAGACGGUACUCGAUAGGAAGGGGUAAAAUCCUUUGAUCUAUUGAUGACCACCUGUGGCGAAGGCGGUCUACCAGAACACGUUCGACGGUGAGGGAUGAAAGCUGGGGGAGCAAACCGGAUUAGAUACCCGGGUAGUCCCAGCUGUAAACGAUGCAGACUCGAUGAUGCAAUGGCAUAGAGCUAUUGCAGUAUCGCAGGGAAGCCGUUAAGUCUGCCGCCUGGGAAGUACGUACGCAAGUAUGAAACUUAAAGGAAUUGGCGGGGGAGCACCACAAGGGGUGAAGCCUGCGGUUCAAUUGGAGUCAACGCCAGAA
rnacentral:rRNA from 1 species